UACGAGAGGCCCAAACGUUAUUCGGAUUUACUGGGCUUAAAGAGUUCGUAGGCGGCUUGGAAAGUGGGGUGUGAAAGCCCUCGGCUUAACCGAGGAAUUGCGCUCCAAACUACCGAGCUUGAGUAGGCUAGAGGUGAGCAGAACUGAUGGUGGAGCGGUGAAAUGCGUAGAUAUCUGGAGGAACACCGGUGGCGAAGGCGGCAGCCUGGACCAACACUGACGCUGAGUGAGCGAAAGCCAGGGGAGCAAACGGG
rnacentral:rRNA from 1 species